CCCCCCCCCCCCCCCCCCCAGGCUAAAGAAGCGCCUGGGGGUUGGGAGAGAGGACUCUGCUCACCACCAUGCAGUCCCGGGGUUAAAGCUCUGACUGCCUCCCAGGACCGCCCCUCCCUGGGGAUCUUCUGGAAGGCUCUUAAAGCGGGAGAGAGGGCAGGAUGAGUAACUCCUGAAGACCAGAAGCUUCCAGCGAGACGCCUUCUCUUCCUGACUGAUGUUCACCCAAAAGACAAAGAGUGACUUGAGCCAUGCAUGGUGGUAUGCACCUCUUGAAUUCAAGAAACAGUAUUGGCCCGAGACACCCCAAGACCAAGUUCUCAGCACUAAGGAGAUUUACUUGUCCCAGACAGACAGAAGACAGGGAAUAAGAGACACAGACAGGAGAGAGAGGAAGAGGGGGAAGGAGCCCCUUCCAUCCCCCCCCUCCUGCUCUUUCCUUGGCUUUCGGCCUGGAAUGCAGGCCUACCAGGCAUCAGGCAGAGGCGUGCAUCUGGACUUACGUCUUGUUCCUUGUGUGUGACACUGAAACCGGCAUCCUCGUCCGAAAAUUAGGAGGACACCGAAGCUGGUGAAGAGGAACUCACCUGACCUGAUGGCUGGACAUCUGAACCCAACACCAUCCGGCAUCAAGUCUUGUGUUACUGUUUCUUCCUGUUCUGAACUUAGGGCCCGUGGGAUCUGACGUGUCUGUGGAGGACUGGAGGCAGCGUGCACGGUACAAGGUCCCUCACCGCUGAGUUGGUUCUGAGGACUGAGCUCAUGCGUAUACUCCAUCCCAUUCACCAGGAGUUCCAUCUUCAGACUGUAUUAGUCACUUUUCUGCUGCUGGGACAAAACACUGUGACCAAGACACCUUACAGGAGGAAGCGUUUAUUUGGGCUGGCAGCUGCAGAGGGAUGAGAAACUAUCACAAUGGUGAGGCAUGGCAGCAACCUCAGUGGUGGGUCAUAUCUUCAGCCGCACGCUUAAAGCAGAGAGAAUGAACUGGAUGUGGGGUCAGGCUGUGAACGCUCGCGCGAAGCCUCCAUGAAAGCUACACUACCCGUCCCAAACAGUGGCAUCAUCUGGGACCCAAGUACUCAACUCUCUGAGUGUAUGUGGAGUACUUCCCAUUUAAACCACCACGCUCCUCGGGACCCUCCCCAGCCGAAUGCCCCGUGUUCUCUCAUGCACUAGGAGGAGAUCCAGACACAGUUUGGAGGGCCAAGCUGGCGGGUGGACUAGCGUUCUCUAGGUCUGAGGGUGCCAGGGUCAGAUGGGGAGAUAAAAUGCAAUGGAAGGGGAGCAGGGCCUGGUCACAUUCCCUCGGCUGCCUACGGCUCGUUAAGUGCUUGAACAGAAAACAGAAGAUGGGAGGCAACAGUCUGUCUCAAACUGCUCAUCUACACCGCAGGCGCGCAGUUUGACAACCAUCCGUCACUCAAUCCACCAUGCACACGUCCAUACAACUAACACGUGUGAGUGGCAGAAUAAUGGCUCCCCAAAGAUGUCCUCGUCCCCAGAACCCAGGUUGUUGCUUAACAUGGCAAAAGGGGAUUAAGGUGGCCGAUGGAAUGUGGGCUGCUAAUUAUCUGGAGUCAAAAUAGGGAGAUUAUCUUGGAUUUUCCCAGUGGGCCUAAUGUAAUCACAGGGGUCUUGAGGAGGAGAAGAGGAUCUCAGAAGAGAGGUCCAGAGAGGUUGACGGUGUGAGAAGGACCUGGCCAACAUGUCUGAGUCUAAAGAUGAAGAAAUAGGACCAGAAGACAAGGAAAAUGGGAAGCCCAGAAAGGCAAGGAAAUGGUUACCCCUUGAGAGUCUGGACUGCAGCCCUGGCAGAGUUCAGCCCAUGGAGACACCAUUUUCAGAAUAAAUUUGCUUUGUUUCCAGCCCCUA